rnacentral:rRNA from 1 species
AUUCGACGCGCGCGCGACGCUACCCGCGCAGUUGCGGCCGAAAUCGUCCGGAAACACGGCCCCAAACACCCACAAAGGUACGCAAACGCCCGCGAAGGUCCGUUAACGCGGCCAACGAACACGCCCCCUCGCGUGCCGGCGAAAGCGGGAGCGGAAGCGCCGUUGCGCCGCUGGUAUUUACGCGUCCGUAUAGACGACGCGAUACGGAAUGCCGACCUUUUCCCACUCGGCGGCUUCCUGGCUGAGGCUGUAGUCGGUGAGCGGAUUCUGCUGGACCCACGCGCUCGGCAGGUGCACUUCGUAGCCGCCCUUUUUCAUCUGCGCGACGUUGAUGUCGGGCAGGCCGGCGUCGUUGCGGCGCCGGCACAGCAGCGCGGCAAGGCGCAGGCAGAACAGCAGCGGCCAUUCGACCUCGCGCGAUUGCGACAGCUUGCCGAGCUUGCCCGCAUGCCCGAGCACGAGCGCGGCGAGCCGCGCCUGAUCGGUGCGCGAGAACCCCGGCAUGUCCGCAUUGCUCGCGAUGUAGGCGGAAUGCUUGUGGUACGCGCUGUGCGAAAUCGACAGCCCGAUCUCGUGCAGCGCGGCCGCCCAGCCGAGGAAGGUGCGGCUCUCGUCGCGAUCCUCGCCCUCGGGCUCGUCGAGCUGAUCGUAAAAGCGCGCGGCAAGCGCGCCGAUACGCGCGGCCUGCGCGCGAUCGACGCCAUAGCGGCGCGUGAAGCCGUCGACCGUCACCGCGCGCAUGUCCUCGUGCUGCGUGCGGCCGAGCAGGUCGUACAGCACGCCCAGGCGCAGCGCGCCGUCCGUCGUGUCGACGUAGUCGACGCCGAGUUCCUCGAACACCGCGAGCAUGAUCGACAGCCCGCCCGCGAGCACCGGCACGCGAUCGGGCUUCAGCGCGACGAGCUUCAGGCGGUUCACGUUCUCGGCCUUGAUGAGCGCGCGCUUCAGGCGCUCGAGGCCGCCGCGCGAGAUGCCGUGCGACACGCCCGCGUCGUUGAAGCCGUUCGCCUCGACGAGUUCCGCGAGCGCGCGCGCGGUGCCGGACGAGCCGAUCGCCUGAUCCCACCCCGCCUUCUUGUAUUCGCCGGAGAUGAUCUGGAUCUCGCGCUUCGCGGCGAGUUCGGCCUGGCGCAUCGUGUAUUCGUCGACGUUGCCGGCCGGAAAGAACGCGCGGCUGUGGCUCACGCAGCCGAUGUAGAGGCUCUCCAUCACGAGCGGCGUGUAAUGCUGGCCGAUGAUGAAUUCGGUCGAGCCGCCGCCGAUGUCGACGACGAGCCGCUUGCCGGCGUUCGCCGGCACCGAGUGCGCGGCGCCCGCGUAAAUGAGGCGCGCUUCCUCGCGGCCCGCGAUCACUUCGAUCGGAAAGCCGAGCGCCGCCUGCGCCUCGGCGAGAAACUCCCCGGCGUUCUUCGCGACGCGCAGCGUG